rnacentral:rRNA from 1 species
GACGAACGCUGGCGGCGUGCCUAACACAUGCAAGUUGAGCGACGAACCAGGGCUUGCCCUGGGGCAAAGCAGCGAACGGGUGAGUAACACGUGGGUAACCUACCCCGAUAACCGGGACAACCCGAGGAAACUCGGGCUAAUACCGGAUGUGCUCACUGGACUUCGGUUCAGUGCGUAAAGGAAGCUUCGGCCUCCGUAUCGGGAGGGGCCCGCGGCCCAUUAGUUUGUUGGUGAGGUAACGGCUCACCAAGACCGCGAUGGGUAGCUGGUCUGAGAGGACGAUCAGCCACACUGGGACUGAGACACGGCCCAGACUCCUACGGGAGGCAGCAGUGGGGAAUCUGGCGCAAUGCGCGAAAGCGUGACGCAGCAACGCCGCGUGGGGGAAGAAGGCCUUCGGGUUGUAAGCCCCUUUCAGGAGGGACGAAGGUUCGGCGGUGAAUAGCCGUCCGGACUGACGGUACCUCCACAAGAAGCCCCGGCUAACUACGUG